GAAAUGCGAUAAGUAAUGUGAAUUGCAGAAUUCAGUGAAUCAUCGAAUCUUUGAACGCACAUUGCGCCCCCUGGUAUUCCGGGGGGCAUGCCUGUUCGAGCGUCAUUACAACCCUCAAGCCUCGCUUGGUGUUGGGCUCCGCCGCCUGGCGGGCCCUAAAGUCAGUGGCGGUGCCGUCCGGCUCCGAGCGUAGUAACACUUCUCGCUUUGGAGACCCGGCUGUGUGCCUGCCAGCAACCCCCCAUUUUUUCAGGUUGACCUCGGAUCAGGUAGGGAUACCCGCUGAACUUAA
rnacentral:misc_RNA from 1 species